rnacentral:lncRNA from 1 species
AAAGAGUCAAUAUUUAAUAAUACCAGAAACACAGAAAUAAAAGAGAAGUUAAGGAGGAAUUGCAUCCAUCAUAAGCAUCUGGUAUUAGAGUGUAAACAACUAGCUGAGAUACAGUAUCAGAUGGAAGUACCAAAAAUUGUUUCAGUGAUAUACUUCAAUUUAUAUGUGUGUGUGUGUGUACGUAUGCAUGUAUUGAGACCUUUCAUAGAAAUUUGAGGUGGCAUAGCAUGACAAUUGCUCAAAUUAGUGCUCUUGUUCAUUAUUUACCCAGUUGCCGUGUUGAAUUUUUACUUCUGAAUGCAGUGGAUUAGUAAAUUUGAAACCAUAUUUUGACUUACAGUAACCCUAUUUUGGCUUACAGUUUCAGAUUAAUUUUAUUCUCUCCGCAAUGGAGAGUCUCCAUGAAAUAUUUUCACCAUCAAUCUAAUAUUACCACCCUCUCUGUACUUAUUUGCAUGAUCAGCAGUUAAUAACACAACAAUUUUUUUUAAUUUCAACCAAAUUAUGCAAUGGUUCAGAAAGCAAUCUAAGAUUGGAUAAAUUUGAAAAUAGAGAAAACAAAAACCUGGCUUCUGUUCCCAAUUUUCCUUAGUCCUUCAUUCCCAAAAACAAAUUCACUUGAUCCUACACUUAUAUUGACAUGAAAUCUGAACUAACAUAACUGACCUACCUGGACCUAUAUAAUUAGAAAAAUCAAACAAUUUCACAAAGAUAAUGUAUUAAAAAAACAUUUAUAAGACUAAACCCCUGUUCGAUUAGGCGAAAAAUCAUAUUUUUAGUAUGUUUUGAUAAAAGUUGAUGAAACGUGUGUUUGAAAAGUUGAUAAAAGUUGUGAAUCCCAUAAAAUGUGUGGUUGAAAUGAAGUUUGGGGGAAAAUGAGUUUUAAAAAUUUGGGGUCAAACAAGGGUUAGUUCUAAACAUUGUUUUGAUUGGUAGCAUUUUAUGUAUCCUUGCCAGGAAAAUAAGUUUGUAAAUAUCAACGUAUUGAUCAAGCAUACCAGGUCAGCAACAUUUCCAACACAUUCUCCCUUGGCAGUCACAUCUCCAAUAUUUUCUCCUUUAGCAAAGGCCUUGUAUAUUGGAGUUCGAGUUGAGGUAGAUGUGACAGCGGCAACAUUCUACAAGCACAUGAAGAUGAAUGUGUGAAGGUAGUUUUCCAUUGCAAGACAUUAAGAAAUGAGAAGGACAACAAUAGACAAAACCUUGGCCACGUUGGCAGCACAAGCUAAUGGAAGAAAUAGAUGUGGAACAGCUGCAGUUGCUAACUCUACCCCAGCUCCCAACUCCAUUAGAAGGUCACCAGCAAUCCGAAGCUGAGUGAUGUGAAACCAUCAGAAGAUACGGAGUUGUAUUUGUAGUGUUUCCAGCAACAAUAAAUACAUUGGCUAAUCAUAAAUCAUCCUUCCUCUUCGAUGUCCAAACCUAAGGAAUAGAAUACCUGCUUUAGAUCGUAAUCAAAUUUCCUUCCCUGCCUUGCAAAAAGCAUCUUCCCAACCCGUCCAGCACCAUCCUAUAAUUAGCCAUACCACAGAAUAUUAUUAGUUCCUUUAAAAAGCAAGAGAAUCCUCUUCUCCUCGUGAUCAAAAUUCAAAAGUAACUCAAUCCUGAGUUUCAGUUGGUUUAAUGACAAAUGAAUGUCAUGAAGAACAUAAAUAGCAGAGCUUCAUGGAUUCCACAUAUCCACUAAUGAAACAUUAUUUGAUACAUUUUAACUUUCAACUUUAUCCUAGCCCUUGAAGCCUCAAUUUCUAAUUUGUAACAAGAAUAACCUGAAAACAAAAUGAACCGUGACAGAAGGGGUUCCUCCACAUUAGCUUCUCAAUGAGAUAACGUGAAGUAAAGAAAGUGUUUCAGUGUUCUCUCCAUAUUUAACAUCCAAUAUUUAUAUUGAAAAACUACAAAAACUGAACAGUCAAAUAAUUUAAAUAAAGGAUAAGUGGGACCCAUGGAUUUCUGAAAUUCCUAGAUGAAUAAAUAUACAAGAAAAGUGAUCACUAUUGUUGAAGGUGUUUACUUUGAACAGAAACGCCAAGGGAUUAGGAGUACAACUGUAUAAGAAUAUAAAGUGUACCUCUAUUCUAAAGAGAUUGAAAGAUCAACCGGAACCACGAAAAAGCAACCACUAUUGUUUAUAGGUGCUUGCUUUGAACAGAAACACAAAAAGAAGCACAAGAAUAUAAUGUGUACUUUUAUCCUAAAGAGGUUUAAAGAUCAAAUAAGCAUGGAAAGAGAUCAAUUGGUAAUGCAUGUGAGCCAACUAUCUUGGGAAUUCACUCUUGGAAUCAUCUGUUUUGUCCACUCACCUCGUCACUUUUCCUCUUUCAAUCCACAAUUUAACUGAGACACACACUCAAGCUUGCACCCAACAAAUAAAAUUGCAUAUUUCCAUGCAGCAACUAAUGCCAAAAGGCUGGUAAAGGUUUAUAGAAUGAAGUACUUCACCCAGUUCUCCCGCUUACCUUGAGAAUCCAAUUUAAAGCUACAGCACUUGGUGCGGCCUGAUUUCUCGAAACUCCUACUGAACUCAGGAGUGUUUGUGUAGUGAAUACGCCCAUCGCUCCACCAAAAAAGUGCUACAAAUAAAAGUAACAAUGCUGUAAAUAUUCUAUAGCAAUCAGGAAACAACUAAAAGGUGUAAAUACCAACAAAUUGAUUCAUGAUAAAUGAUGUACAUGGUACCAUAAAUAUAACUAAAUACCUUCAAUGCUCUCCAAGUCAUGUAUGGAACAUAAGCAGGUGUGACACUGUCAGGAAAACCUUCGGGGACCACAUACGACCUUAUAAAUGACAUCAACCCCUGCACCACAAAGAUGACAUAACUGAGAGAAAGGUAAAUAUAUUUUGCAACCAAAUUACUUAUUCUUGAAAUCUAACCGUUCAGUUCCCCUUCUCCACCUCUUUGUUCCCCUCUAAUUUUUCAAUGAUUUGCAUGUAAUGUGUAGAGAGAUAUUAUUAUUUUAUUUCUGUUUUCUUCGUAAUGUUAACCAUGAUUAAUACCUACCCAGCUAUUACUGCAAGAUGUCUAUACGCAAAUUGCAAUUAUAAAAUAUGAAAUAUCGCUGCUAAGUACUAAACCACUUAGUACAGGAGCUAUACAAAUUCUCUAACAAAAAUUUUGAAGUGGAAAAAAAUAUUUGAAAAAAGAUGGUUAUUAUCCUAGACUCUCAUUUUGCUGUUGAAUAAAAUACCAAAAGCAGUUCAUAUUUAAAGCAAAUGAUUAAUCAAAAAACUUCACGAACAAUAUUUCAGUUCAUAAAAUGGGAAGUCACCAUUUUUUGGGAAGAAACAAAUGCAAUUUCUUUUUUUUUCUUUUUUUUGAAAGGUAAAAUCCCAUUUCAUAUUUGCAAUAACAAACGUCCGAAAGCUCAAAUUAAGUACAUCACCGCAAAAAUAUAAUUCAAUUAUGUUAAUUCAUUCUCGCUCAAAAGGAUUUUAAUAUCAAUGUAAAUGCUUAGAUACAGAGAAACAGCAGGAAACAAAAAGAACCAAGAAGAAGAAGAGAAUACUGACAUCAAAAGGGGCCUGGGGAUAAUGCAAGCUAACAGUACGAAUAGAAUUCUUCUUAAAUUUUUCCGAACUGUUAGUUUUAACACUGUUAUUAUCAGCGAAAUAUUUCCACCGCUGGCCAUCGAUCUCCUCACAACAGAUCAAUCUGAAGCUGGAAUCAAGAAACUGGUCCUCGACAAGUCCGCCAAAUUUGGAAUCCCGAAUCAAUUCCAGCUCAGGCACCGCCGGCGGCGGAGGUGCCGAUGCGAGGUUGGCGCUAAUGCGUAAUGUCUCACGGACAAGUAAACGCGUCUCGGAGGAGGUUAGGGUUUGAGAAGUGGAAUUGGACGGGUGCUUAAGUUUCAUUUUGUAAUCAGAAGAUUUACAGCAGAGAAUUUGGGGAAUAUGAGAAUGAGAAUUGGCUGUAUAUAAUUAUGUGUGUGUGUGUAUAGAGAGAGAGAGAGAGUAUGAAUAGAAAAGUACAGAUGGUGAACGGAGCUUAAGAGAGUUUUUCUUGUUAUGUUUUUUGUUGCUCUGCU